UCAAGAGAACGUGAAAUCGCUGGAGUGGAACCGGAGAGAGUUGACGUAGUCAGGUAACUAAGUUUGCCAAAGUCGCUUAAUUGUGACGGCGGGAGAUGUAUGUUGCCUAUGGCUGCGCUGACAGCACUGGCUGUGCGUUCCGAACCGUUUGCGUUGCCCACCCAUCACUGGGUGGUGUCUUGCUUUCGGGUAGGUUUGUCGUGGCUAGUGUUUUAUCCUGCUUGCAGGGUGUCAGUGUGAAAGUCGACCACCUCUCCGAC
rnacentral:rRNA from 1 species